ensembl:lncRNA
CCCCCAGUACAACCCUCCAGUACAGCCCUCAGUACAGCCCCCAGUACAGCCCUCCAGUACAGCCCCCAGUACAGCCACCCAGUACAGCCCUCCAGUACAGCCCUCCACUACACCUAGACCUUACAGUGAAAUGCUGAAUACAACAGGUGUAGUAGACCUGACAGUAUUCAGCAUUUCACUGUAAGGUCUACCUACACCUGUUGUAUUAGGCAUUUCACUGUAAGGUCUACUACACCUGUUGUAUUCAGCAUUUCACUGUAAUGUCUACUACACCUGUUGUAUUCAGCAUUUCACUGUAAGGUCUACUACACCUGUUGUAUUCAGCAUUUCACUGUGAGGUCUACCUACACCUGUUGUAUUCAGCAUUUCACUGUAAGGUCUACUACACCUGUUGUAUUCAGCAUUUCACUGUAAGGUCUACUACACCUGUUGUAUUCAGCAUUUCACUGUAAGGUCUAUUUGAUUUGAUUUGAUUUGACCAUCCGUUACCAUGGUAGCAGCCACAUGAACUUAUAAGUUGUUUACAAAGAUAUUCUAUUCUUAUUUACAAUAUCUGACUCCAAAAUAACACAAUACAUUAUUUACCAGUUAUUUCUAUUGGUAACAAGAUCAUCUGAAACACAACCAAAACAAACUGCAAAUUGCAUCCAACCAGUUUAUAGAGUCACCAGCUUGAUGUAGUCAUUGAGUGCUAGGAAUAUGGGACCAAAUACUACACUUUUGACUUCAUUUAAUACACAUCAGUGAAGUUUUCCCAAUACUUUUGGUUCUUCUUUAAUUGGGGGGGGGGGUACAGAUAAAAAAUAUCUGUAAUAUGGAUGAACAUACCCUCAAAUUAAAGAUGACAGUCAGCACUUUGUAUCCUUUCAAAUCCAAAGUGUUGGAGUACAGAGCCACAACAACAAGAAAUAUUUCACUAUUCCAAUACAUCAUGACUCUCAGUUCAUUACUUUAUGACUCUCAGUCAGAGGUGGCAAGCAGGGCACAGCCAAUGAGGAUUCAGUCAGAGGUGGCAAGCAGGGCACAGCCAACGAGGAUUCAGUCAGAGGUGGCAAGGAGGGCACAGCCAACGAGGAAUCAGUCAGAGGUGGCAAGGAGGGCACAGCCAACGAGGAUUCAGUCAGAGGUGACAACCCAGCAAGCAGGGCACAGGAGUGAUUUCAAAAGCCAUGCCGCUAAUAAAAUGGUUUUAACGGGAGUUACAUGGAGCUCUUCCCUGAGAGCCAGGAGGCGAUCUGUAGUAAGGCAAACAUCCUCCACACCUGUGCUUGUCGGUCCGUCAGUCAGUCCCAUGUCCUAAGGAUAUCCGUUCAUCAGCCGAGGUUAUGCCACCAGAAAUAAACACACGAUACAGCUGACAUGGACUACCUGAUUGGCUCAUUCGUAACGUCAUUAUCGCCAACCUACAUGAACGAGCGGUUUAGAAUGUAAUGCUUAAUAUUACCAGUAGAUGACGCCACAUUCCUGUUUUUUUUGUUUUUUCUGCUCCCAUUUUUCCAAUGUCUUGAUUUUUUCAUUGUGUCUUGACCGCAUGGUCCGGUAGACAAAGCAAGGUGGAGGCAAUGCGCUGAGCUCACACUUUGCAGCGGACAGAACAAUUCAAUAGCCUAUGUUUUCUUUGGCUAUAAAUGACAACAACAACAAAAACAACCACUGGCUGGUAUUUGUUUUGCAAAAACAUGACAAAAUCAUAUUUGAGAAAUAUCUUUUUAAAUUUGUAAGUCUUAUUUGUUCCAUAAACCUACCGCUCAAAAUAUAUGUUUGGUAGAUAUAAACUAUUAUUAUUAGCACCAAGAAAUACGUCUCUUCAUAUCUUCCUGUUCUGUUCAGGACCGAAAUGUAAGAGAUUGAAUUGUAAAAGCAACAGUUUCUUAUGAAUUCAACAGAGCGUUUGUACUGUGUGUGUCUGGUCAUAGACAAGAAGCAGCUCAUCCUCUCUUAACGGGGAGACCUUCAAAGCCGCGGCGCCACCGCGCUUUGUUCACUUUCAUUGUCUCUAAUUCAUUCAUUUAAAUCAGUUUCAUCCAUGUGGAUGAAGAAAAACAAGACAAAAACUGAUCAUGUAAAUACAGAGUUUCCCGUUUUACCAUGAACUGUGUGUUAUUGCUUUCAUGUUGAAGAUGUGUCUCUGAUGCAAUAGAUGUAUGGAGUUGACAAAGAAAAUAAGGCACUGAUAAAUAAAAUAAAAUUAAAAAAAUU